rnacentral:rRNA from 1 species
CCUCGGGAGGUAGAAGUGAGGAAGAGUGGGCAAGGGGAGGAAGCCGGAACCAGCCAGGGCGCGUGCAGGACGACGGCUCUACGAGUUGUAAACUGCUUUUGUACCGGGGUAAAAUGCUCUACGAGUAGGGUUUUGAAAGUACGGUACGAAUAAGGAUCGGCUAACUCCGUGCCAGCAGCCGCGGUAAUACGGAGGAUCCGAGCGUUAUCCGGAUUCAUUGGGUUUAAAGGGUGCGUAGGUUGUUUUAUAAGUUAGCGGUGAAAUACCGAUGCUCAACAUCGGGGCUGCCGCUAAUACUGUAGGACUAGAGAUCGGAUGCAGCAGGCGGAAUGUGUAGUGUAGCGGUGAAAUGCAUAGAUAUUACACAGAACUCCGAUUGCGAAGGCAGCUUGCUAGGCCGGAUCUGACACUGAUGCACGAAAGCGUGGGGAUCGAACAGGAUUAGAUACCCUUGUAGUC